UACGAAGGGGGCUAGCGUUGUUCGGAUUUACUGGGCGUAAAGCGCACGUAGGCGGAUUGUUAAGUCAGGGGUGAAAUCCUGGAGCUCAACUCCAGAACUGCCUUUGAUACUGGCAAUCUAGAGUCCGGAAGAGGUGAGUGGAACUCCUAGUGUAGAGGUGGAAUUCGUAGAUAUUAGGAAGAACACCAGUGGCGAAGGCGGCUCACUGGACAGUAACUGACGCUGAGACACGAAAGCGUGGGGAUCAAACAGG
rnacentral:rRNA from 1 species